rnacentral:rRNA from 1 species
AUUGAACGCUGGCGGCAGGCCUAACACAUGCAAGUCGAGCGGCAGCGGGAAAGUAGCUUGCUACUUUUGCCGGCGAGCGGCGGACGGGUGAGUAAUGCCUGGGGAUCUGCCCAGUCGAGGGGGAUAACUACUGGAAACGGUAGCUAAUACCGCAUACGCCCUACGGGGGAAAGCAGGGGACCUUCGGGCCUUGCGCGAUUGGAUGAACCCAGGUGGGAUUAGCUAGUUGGUGAGGUAAUGGCUCACCAAGGCGACGAUCCCUAGCUGGUCUGAGAGGAUGAUCAGCCAAACUGAAACUGAGAAACGGUCCAGACUCCGACGGGAGGCAGCAGUGGGGAAUAUUGCACAAUGGGGGAAACCCUGAUGCAGCCAGGCCGCGUGUGUGAAGAAGGCCUUCGGGUUGUAAAGCACUUUCAGCGAGGAGGAAAGGUUGGUAGCUAAUAACUGCCAGCUGUGACGUUACUCGCAGAAGAAGCACCGGCUAACUCCGUGCCAGCAGCCGCCGUAAAAC